AUGUUCGUCCUGCAAAGGUCUAUAUUAUCAACUGCCAGCAGAAAUUGCGGUGGAUCAUGGACACGAGUGUUGCUGCCUACACACGUCACCGUGAAGGACGCCCAACAAAAAGAGAUUCACGAGGUUUCGGGAGAUGUGAUACCUAUAAAUAUGGUGAAGGGUAUCGGACAUCUUAGAGAUCCCCGGCUCAACAAGGGCUUAGCAUUUACUCUAAAAGAGAGGAUAGCAUUGGGAAUACAUGGCCUGCAACCUCCGAGAUUUAAAACACAGGAAGAACAGCUGGCACUAUGCAAAGCUUCAGUUAUGAAAUAUACAGAAGAUUUAAACCGAUAUCUAUAUCUGGUGGAGCUUCAGGAGAGGAAUGAGAGGCUAUUUUUUCGCCUACUGAGUGAAAACAUCGAACAGAUGAUGCCGAUUGUUUAUACACCUACUGUUGGGCUCGCCUGUCAAAAAUUUGGCGUAAUUUACCGUAGACCACGUGGGCUUUUCAUCACUAUAUAUGACAAGGGCCACAUUUACGAGGUUUUGAAUAAUUGGCCAGAACAAGCAGUACGAGCCAUUUGUGUAACAGAUGGCGAGCGAAUUUUAGGUCUUGGUGACCUUGGUGCUUGCGGCAUGGGUAUCCCUGUCGGGAAACUAGCACUUUAUACAGCUCUAGCUGGCAUUAAACCACACCAAUGUCUCCCGAUCACUAUUGACGUAGGUACUAAUAACGAACAGUUAAGAAACGAUCCUCACUACAUCGGUCUUAACAAGCCCAGAACUCAAGGUGUUGAAUACGAUGAAUUGAUCGACGAAUUUAUGGCAGCCUGCGUAAAAAAGUACGGACAAAACGUUCUUAUUCAAUUCGAAGAUUUCGGGAAUCACAAUGCUUUUCGUUUCUUAGACAAGUAUCGAAAUAAGUACUGCACAUUCAACGAUGACAUUCAAGGUACGGCCGCGGUUGCAGUGGCUGGCAUUCUAGCAUCAAAGAGGAUAACCAAAAAGAGAAUGUCGGAUAAUAAGUUUGUCUUCCUGGGUGCCGGAGAGGCAGCUAUUGGAAUAGCGGAUCUUUGCGUUAAAGCGAUGGAGGCUGAUGGUUGCACCGAGCAGCAGGCUCGUGAUAAUAUUUGGAUGAUGGAUAUCGACGGAUUACUCGUCAAGAAUCGGCCUGAAGGUAAUCUGGAGGGCCACAAGAUUUGGUACGCGAAAGAACACAAAGUAAUGAAGACGCUAAUCGAGGUCGUGAGGGAGAUCAAACCUACGGUUUUGAUAGGCGCUUCGGCAGCUGCAGGUGCAUUCACUCCUGAAGUCUUAAAAGAAAUGGCGAAAAAUAACGAAAGGCCAUUGAUUUUUGCUUUGAGUAAUCCAACCAGUAAAGCUGAAUGUACAGCACAGCAGGCAUACGAUCAUACAGAUGGAAGAUGCGUGUUCUCUUCUGGUUCACCAUUCGGUGAAGUAAAUUAUAAUGGAAAGACAUAUAAACCGGGACAAGGUAAUAACGCGUAUAUCUUCCCUGGUAUAGCCUUGGGCGUUAUUGCGACUGGAUGUCACCACAUCACGGAAGAUUUGUUCUUAAUCUCGGCACAAGCUGUGGCUGAUCACGUGAAGGAUGAGGACCUCCAAAGGGGAAGUUUGUACCCACCGUUGAAUAACAUUCGCGAAUGCUCAAUUGACAUUGCAGUUAGGAUAGCGGACUACGCUUAUGCUAAAGGUGGUUUGGCGAGCGAAUAUCCGGAACCAAAAGACAAGCGAAAAUUUAUUAUGAGUAAAAUGUACGAAUGCAACUAUGACAGUCCACUGCCAAGCUUUUACGAGUGGCCAGGUGACUCUGCCAAACCUCGCAUCUUACCUGAAAAAGACACAGUAGAAAUCCGCCACAAUUUAAAACAUCUAUAGUGAAUUUCAUCGACCGGAAAUAUAGUCGAAGACUAUUAUUCUUACAUUUAAUCAAAAUGUCUCCUCAGCUCAUAGUCAAUGUCACUCAUGGCAUAUACAAACGGAAAAACGACUUGAAAACAGUUAUAACCAUUAUGACGGGUUGGCGAGUCUAAAGACGAGACGACUACAUUAACAUAUUCAUAAACUUGUUAAAUUAAUUUUUCGCAGUCAAAAAAUAAUAAGUGUUAAUAUUAUUGCGUGUAGUCAAGACGUAUAUUCUUUUAGUAUUAAGAAAUCUUCUCAUCGAUAGAAAAUUAAUUAUAUAACAAAAUCUUUUGCGUUUAAAUAUUACCUAAAUAGCACAAUAUAUCCCAGAAUCAUCCUGAACAUGUCUAAAAUGUUGUGCUUCAAGAUGACCUGAGCAUAUUCUGGAUGAUCCCAGAUCAUUUCGUGGUAUUCAGGUAUAUAUAUAUAUAUAUAUAUAUAUAUAUAUAUAUAUAUAUAUAUAUAUAUAUA